rnacentral:rRNA from 1 species
GACGAACGCUGGCGGCGUGCUUAACACAUGCAAGUCGAGCGGUAAGGCCCUUUCGGGGGUACACGAGCGGCGAACGGGUGAGUAACACGUGGGUGACCUGCCUUUAGCUCUGGGAUAAGCCUGGGAAACUGGGUCUAAUACCGGAUAUGACUCCGCGGUGCAUGCUGUGGGGUGGAAAGCCUUGUGCGGCUGGAGAUGGGCCCGCGGCCUAUCAGCUUGUUGGUGGGGUGAUGGCCUACCAAGGCGACGACGGGUAGCCGGCCUGAGAGGACGAUCAGCCACACUGGCACUGCGACACGGGCCAGACUCCUACGGGAGGCAGCAGUAAGGAAUAUUGCGCAAUGGGCGAAAGCCUGACGCAGCGACGCCGCGUGGGGAUGAAGGUCUCGGA